CUACGGGACGCUGCAGUGGGGAAUAUUGGACAAUGGGGGAAACCCUGAUCCAGCAAUGCCGCGUGUGUGAAGAAGGCCUGCGGGUUGUAAAGCACUUUCGGUUGGGAGGACUGCUUCUAGCACUAAUAUUGUUGGAAGUUGACGUUACCUUCAGAAGAAGCACCGGCUACUCCGUGCCAGCAGCCGUGGUAAUACGGAGGGUGCAAGCGUUAAUCGGAAUUACUGGGCGUAAAGCGCGCGUAGGCGGCUAGAUCAGUCGGGUGUGAAAGCCCCGGGCUUAACCUGGGAACUGCAUCCGAUACUGUCUAGCUUGAGUACAGGAGAGGAGAGUGGAAUUCCACAUGUAGCGGUGAAAUGCGUAGAUAUGUGGAGGAACACCAAUGGCGAAGGCAGCUCUCUGGCCUGAUACUGACGCUGAGGUGCGAAAGCGUGGGGAGCAAACAGGAUUAGAUACCCCGGUAGUC
rnacentral:rRNA from 1 species